UAUGGGCUUCCUGUGGUAGUGAAGCACGUGUACCCAUCAUGCUUCAGGGUCUCUGACAAGAAGAAACAAGAUGGUGGUUGGAAUGAAGAUUCGAGACGUGGAAAAAACUUCGACCGUUACACGGGUCUCCUUGACAAGAAGAAACAAGAUGGCGCGUCGAAUGAAGCUUGGAGGUGUGGACAGAAACUUCGACCAUUACACGGGUCUCUGGUAAAAAGAAACAAGACGGCGGUUGGAGUGAAGCUUCGAGGUGUGAACUGAAACUUCGACGAUUACACGUUGGAUCAUCAAGGAUAAGAAGGCUAGCUGAAUCUAUAAGUGUUAGUUGUAGAUGUUAUUUAGUAAAAUUACACAAGUGAAAAUAA